ACACAAAAAUCAUUCUUUUUCAUUAGUUCCACAGAAAUAACUGGCUUGUGGCAGCCAAGCGUUCAUAGCGACGUUGCUUUUUGAUCCUUCGAUGUCGGCUCUUCCUGUCAUACUGGAGCAGAAUUCAGUACGCGCCUCUAAGUCAGAAUCCGUGCUAGAACGCGACGAUUACCGCCUUUUCCGAUAAUUAGUUGAAUACGAAUAGAGCUUCGGCUCCUGAAUCAUGCUACGUGGGGUUAUCUUGUGGAGCGGAAAGGCUUCAUGAGGUUCCUGCUAAUGUUAAUUUCAAAUAUUGGAAGAGAUAAAUCCAUUGCAGACGACUUUUAAGCAACGGUGUACUGUAAGCUGUAGAGUAGCCUUGUUGCUACGAUCCGCUGAGAUUAAGCCAUUUGUUGAAGAUUU
rfam:Lobosporangium transversale strain NRRL 3116 BCR41scaffold_32, whole genome shotgun sequence.